AAUCUGCCCUCGGGAGGGGGACAACCGCUGGAAACGGCGGCUAAUACCCCAUAAGCCCACGGGUGAAAGUUCCGGCGCCCGAGGAGGAGCUCGCGUCCGAUUAGCUAGUUGGUGGGGUAAGAGCCUACCAAGGCGACGAUCGGUAGCUGGUCUGAGAGGAUGAGCAGCCACACUGGGACUGAGACACGGCCCAGACUCCUGCCCAGACUCCUACGGGAGGCAGCAGUGGGGAAUCUUCCGCAAUGGGCGCCAGCCUGACGGAGCUAUACCGCGUGAGGGAAGAAGGCCCUUGGGUCGUAAACCUCUUUUCUCGGGGAAGAAAGAUGACGGUACCCGAGGAAAAAGCCUCGGCCAACUCCGUGCCAGCAGCCGCGGUAAUACGGAGGAGGCAAGCGUUAUCCGGAAUUAUUGGGCGUAAAGCGUCCGCAGGUGGCACCUCAAGUCGGCGGUGAAAGGCUGGGGCUCAACCCCAGACCAGCACGUGGAAACUGAGUGAGCUAGAUGUGCGGUAGGGCGUAGAGGGAAUUCCCAGUGUAGCGGUGAAAUGCGUAGAGAUUGGGAAGAACACCGGUGGCGAAAGCGCUCUACUGGACCGCAACUGACACUCAGGGACGAAAGCUAGGGGAGCG
rnacentral:rRNA from 1 species